CCUUAGUAACGGCGAGUGAAGCGGUAACGGCUCAAAUUUGUAAUCUGGCACCCGCCCGAGUUGUAAUUUGCAGAGGAUGCUUCGGCUACGCCCCGGUCCAAGUCCGUUGGAACACGGCGUCGCAGAGGGUGAGAAUCCCGUCGCGACCGGCGGCCCCGCCAUGUGAAGCUCCUUCGACGAGUCGAGUUGUUUGGGAAUGCAGCUCAAAAUGGGAGGUAAAUUUCUUCUAAAGCUAAAUAUUGGCCCGAGACCGAUAGCGCACAAGUAGAGUGAUCGAAAGAUGAAAAGCAUCUUGGAAAGGAAUCGAAACAGCACGUGAAAUUGUUAAAGGGGAAGCGCUAGCGAUGAGACUUAUCGCGGCCGCUCACCGGGGCUUCUGCCCCGGGCACGCGGUCGCGUUGGCCCGCAUCGGUUUGGGCGGCGGGAGAAACGCCAACGGAAUGUGGCCCCCCUCGGGGGGUGUUAUAGCCGUGGUGCAAUACCGCCCGCCCGGACCGAGGCACGCGUUCGCUCGGA
rnacentral:rRNA from 1 species